GGCUUCGUAUCUCAGCUGGUAGGGUGUGCACGUGCAAAGCGUAAGCGGCGUCCAUGCGUGGGUUCGAAUCCCAACGAGGCUA
rnacentral:tRNA from 1 species